rnacentral:misc_RNA from 1 species
GAUGAAGAACGUAGCGAAAUGCGAUAAGUAAUGUGAAUUGCAGAAUUCAGUGAAUCAUCGAAUCUUUGAACGCACAUUGCGCCCGUCAGUAUUCUGGCGGGCAUGCCUGUUCGAGCGUCAUUACGCCCCUCAAGUCCCCUGUGGACUUGGUGUUGGGGAUCGGCGAGGCUGGUUUUCCAGCACAGCCGUCCCUUAAAUUAAUUGGCGGUCUCGCCGUGGCCCUCCUCUGCGCAGUAGUAAAACACUCGCAACAGGAGCCCGGCGCGGUCCACUGCCGUAAAACCCCCCAACUUUUUAUAGUUUACCUCGAAUCAGGUAGGACUACCCGCUGAACUUAAGCAUAUCAAUAAGCGGAGGA